GAUGAACGCUGGCGGCGUGCUUAACACAUGCAAGUCGAACGGAAAGGCCCUGCUUUUGUGCCUUGCUCGAGUGGCGAACGGGUUAGUAACACGGGAGUAACCUCCCCUUUACUUUGUGAUAACUUCAGGCAACUGGGGCUAAUACCGGAUAUGAGCUCCUGCCGCGUGGUGGGUGUUGGAAAGAUACGGCGGUUGGGGAUCUUCUCGCGGCUUAUCCGCUUGUUGGUGGGGUAGUGGCUUACCAAGGCUGUGAGGGGUAGCCGGCCUGAGAGGGGGACCGGGGACAAAGGGACUGAGAGACGGACCAGACACCUACGGGAGGCAGAGGGGGGGAGAAUUGCGGAAUGGGGGGAAGACUGAGACAGAAACACUGCGUGCGGAAUAACGGGCUUUGGGGUGUAAACAGUUUUGGCAGGAGAGAAGGAGAAAGUGACGGUAAUGGGUAAAGAAGCAACGGCUAACUACGUG
rnacentral:rRNA from 1 species